AUAUAUACAAACUACCAAUAUAAGUUAACUGAUCGGUAAUUAAGGU
rnacentral:guide_RNA from 1 species